rnacentral:rRNA from 1 species
GACGAACGCUGGCGGCAUGCCUAAUACAUGCAAGUCGAGCGGAUCUUCUUAAGUAGCUUGCUACUUAAGUUGGUUAGCGGCGGACGGGUGAGUAACACGUAGGCAACCUGCCCUCAAGACUGGGAUAACAUUCGGAAACGAAUGCUAAGACCGGAUACGCAAGCCUGGGGCAUCUCGGGCUUGGGAAACACGGAGCAAUCUGUGGUUUAAGGAUGGGCCUGCGGCGCAUUAGCUAGUUGGUGGGGUAACGGCCUACCAAGGCGACGAUGCGUAGCCGACCUGAGAGGGUGAACGGCCACACUGGGACUGGGACACGGCCCAGACUCCUACAGGAGGCGGCAGUCGAGAAUCUUCCGCAAUGCGCGAAAGCGUGACGGAGCGACGCCGCGUGGGCGAUGAAGGCCUUCGGGUUGUAAAGCCCUGUUAGCUGUUUUGAAUGACGGGCGGUGAAUAACUGUCCCGUUUGACGUAAGCAGCAGAGGAAGCACCGGCUAACUACGUGCCAGCCGCCGCGGUAACAC